ACGUAGGGUGCGAGCGUUAAUCGGAAUUACUGGGCGUAAAGCGUGCGCAGGCGGUCAUACAAGACAGAUGUGAAAUCCCCGGGCUCAACCUGGGAACUGCAUUUGUGACUGUAUGGCUGGAGUACGGUAGAGGGGAGUGGAAUUCCGCGUGUAGCAGUGAAAUGCGUAGAUAUGCGGAGGAACGCCGAUGGCGAAGGCAGCUCCCUGGACCUGUACUGACGCUCAUGCACGAAAGCGUGGGGAGCAAACAGGAUUAGAUACCCUGGUAGUCCACGCCCUAAACGAUGUCAACUGGUUGUUGGGAGGGUUUCUUCUCAGUAACGAAGCUAACGCGUGAAGUUGACCGCCUGGGGAGUACGGCCGCAAGGUUG
rnacentral:rRNA from 1 species